UCAGGCAAGUCUAACAAGUACAAUAACUGUGGAAUAAUGGCACGAUUUUUCCCAAACCAAAAGGAAACUAUUCCUGAUUUCCAUCUCUUACCUAUGGUUUUAAGGAACACUCUUCAAAUUCUCUACAAUUUUAAGACAAAAAAGGAGAAAACUUUCAUCUUUAUCUCUGACUAAAUUGGAAUUCGAAAGAGUAGAUUCAUACUAAUUUGAAGAUUGGGAGGAAUUAGAGCAUGUAUCAAUGAUUCAUUAAAGGUUUGCAAUUUGUGAGAGCUUGAUAUUCGGUAUUCAAGAAUCAGGUUAUAUUGCUUCAUCUUUUAAUAGUUUUAAUUUCAUAAUUUUACUUAUAUUAUUAUUAUAAUGUUAGCCACGAAAAUAUAUAUCAGGAUGGAAAAUGAAAAAAAAAAGAAAAAACUCAAGAAAUAAUAGAACAACAAAAGGGAGCUUUAGAUAAAUUUGUUAACAAACAACACAGAGAAUUUUAACAAUAAUAGAUUGGAUGAAGAAGAAAAUGUUCACGACUCGAAUGACGACGACAAUAUUUUGAAUGAUAAUAAUGAUAAUAAAUUAGGGCUUACUUGAUGAGAAUGAUAAUGUAUGUCAUGAGUCAAAUACUAAUGUUGAUUAUGAACAAGUUCCUAUUUUGGAUAUUUACGAUCUAAUAAAUUAGGGCUUACUUGAUGGUAAAACUAGAAAUAUUUUAAUUGAAAAAGGGCGUAUUAGAGAAUAAAAUCUAACAUUUUCUAAAGAUAGUCUUGCUAGACAUUUUUCAUGUUCUUAUUUUUUUUAGAAAGUUAAGCGGAGAAACCAUCGAUAGAAAAUUGUUGAUUUACUCAAAACAAGCUAAUAAAGUAUAUUGUUUUUGUUGUAAAUAAUUCACUUUUCAAAAGUAUAAUUUUAACAAGUGAUGGAGUGAAUAAUUGGAAGCAUUUAUGUGAAAAAUUCAAACAACAUGAAAAUAGCAUUGAACAUACGACUAAUAUGAAUACUUGGAAUGAAACAAAAAUAAGACUUGAAAAAAAAUAAAUGUAUUGACAAAGAUUUGAAAAAUUGAAUUAUGCAAGAAAAAGAAAGGUGGAGACAAAUUUUAAUAAGGAUAAUAUCUGUUGUGAAAUGUCUUUCAAAAAAUAACUUAGCAUUUCGUGGAUCAAAUGGAAAACUUUGUGAAGAUAGUAAUGGAAAUUUUUUGGGGAUAAUUAAAAUGAUCAUUGAAUUUGAUUUGAUUCUGCAAGAAAAUAUUAAACGCAUAAAAAAUGAUGAAAUUCAUCAUAACUAUCUUGGCCCUAAAAUUCAAAAUGAAUUGAUAUCUCUUUUAACUCAAAGUGUUAAACAUUUUAUGAUAAAGAUAAUUAAAGAAGAAAAGUAUUUUUCAGUUAUUCUUGAUGAUGUGAGCCAUUAAGAACAAAUGACUCUAAUAGUAAGAUGUGUUAAUAUGUCAAAUAAUGAAAUAAAAGUGGAAGAAUUUUUCUUGAAAUUUUUAAAGUAGAUGAUACAUCUGGUUUAGGGCUUUUAAAAGAAUUGUUAAUUUUAUGCAAGUCCCUUGAUUUAGAUAUAGAUAAUGUUCGAGAUCAAGGUUAUGACAACGGUGAUAAUAUGAAAGGCAAACACCAAAGGGAUCAAAAAAGAAUACUUGAAUUAAAUCCAAGGGCUUUGUACAUGCCAUGUGCUUGUCAUAGUCUUAACCUCACUCUCUCUGAUAUGGUAUAUUCAUGUGUAAAACCUAUUUCCUUUUUUGGAAUUGUGCAAAGAAUGUACACAUUAUUUGCUAGCUCAACUAAGAGAUGGAAGAUUCUAACUGAUCAUGUGGAUAAGUUAACCUUAUAACCAUUGAGUAAUACUCGAUGGGAGGGUUGAGAAAAGAGCGUCAAAUCUAUUAGAUUUCAAGCCCCUAAAAUAAAAUAAGCUUUGUUAUCACUAUACAAAUCUAGUACUAAUGAUACAAUGACUAGAAGUGAAGCAUAUAGUUUAUCAAAAUUUGUUGCAAGUUUUGAGUUCUUACUUAGCUUGGUGGUUUCAAUUAACAAGGUGAGUAAAAAAUUGCAAUCUAUAUCUAUGUGCAUUGGAACAACAAUGGAGGAAGUGAAAAUUCUAAUGUUAUACUUUGAAAAGAUUAGAAAUGAAGAGUUUGAGCCUUGUAUGAAUAUUGCUAAAACUAUUGCACUUAGUAUGAACGUUGAACCUUCAUUUCCAAUAAAGCGCCAUAUAACAAGAACAAGACAAUUUGAUGAGAAUGAUGAUGAAGAAAUACAAUCACCUGAGGAGUCUUUUAGAAUCAAUUAUUUUCUUGUGGUUGUAGAUUUGGCAAUAACUUCAUUGAAAAAUAGAUAUGAAUGAUUAGAGCUAUUUGAUAAUAUUUUGGAUUUUUAUUUGAUUCUGAAAGGUUCAUCAUCAUCAUCCUACCCAAUAUAUCUCGCUCUUAGAAAGUUAAGGCCAGGGUCUGGGGAGGGAAGGACGGCGGCAACUCAUACCCAUAUAAGAGAGCGCGGCCAAAAGAGUCCCCGACUCGAGAAAGAUAAAGAGACACGAACACAAGCAAGACAACUUAAAGGCCUAUAGACAAAAAGACCACUACAAAAGAAAACAAAGAACUAAAAGGAAAGGAAACGGUAAGCGCAAGGGGUUGAGGGCACUAAGAGGUCAAAGGACGGACAUCGGUAAUCUAAAACGUGGAUAUGACGUCUCCAACUGCUCCUAUCCCUAGUCAGGUCCGCAUAGAGGUUUAACUCCUAUAAGUCUACUCUUAUUUGCUCAUCCCAAAUUUCCAAGUUCUCUUUGAUUCUAAAAGAAGAUCUUUUUCAAGAAUUAAAAGUGUCGCGAAUAAUAUUGCCAAAUGAAUUGAUGUCGGCACUUGAUAUUUUGAAGUUCGUCAAAGUUGCAGAUUGUUAUCCCAAUGUUUCAAUCGCUUAUCGCAUCCUUUUAACUAUGCCUGUAAUAGUGGCCUCUGCAGAAUGAAGUUUAUCAAAGCUAAAAUUAUUGAAGACAUAUUUGAUGUCUACUAUGUCACAAGAAAGGUUAAAAGGUCUAGCCAUUUUAUCUAUUGAGAAAAAUAUGUUGGAACAUAUUGAUGUAGAUACUAUUAUUAGUGAUUUUGCUUCUAGAAAUGCUCGUAGAAAAUGUUUUGUUUGAGUAAUUAAAGAUUGUCAACUCUUUA